AUACCAUAAAGUUGGUCACUGUCUUUUGGUGGCACCGAUAUGAAAGUCUGUGGUACCGAGAGAUUAGGGUUUGGCAAAGGUUCCGUCUCUCGGAAAAUUGAUAGGGCAGAAUUGGAAUUCUUGGUGGCACCAAUUUUUGAUGUUUAGGCCUUUGAUAGAGAUUUUGUGGGAGAAUGGCUAAAUAUUUUUGGUGGUUAUCUCUAGGCACUUGAGCAACCAAUUCAUCGUAUAUACCUCACCUCCCUUUUAAUAGUAUUGACUCUCCUAUGGACUCAAAUAUGAUUUCUCACAUAUAUAAAAUGCAGAGUCUUGUAGUUUGAGGCUUAGCCAAUCCUAUUCCUUUUCUUGGGGGCUUCUCCACACAAUCCUUUAGCCAAUCAUCUCUAUGGACUAUACCCGAAAUAUGCUAAAUAAAAUUGUUAUUCCAAAAAACAGUGUAUGUUGUCAUGAAUUAUCAAAACCAUCAAGGGAGCAUAUAUGUGCUUUCAGCAUGCUCUUACUCAUAGUGCGCCCCUUCCUUACAGCGCAUCACAUCACCGUUGACACUCCCUCGCAACAUCGCCGACGGCUAUGCAACAUCGCCUUGCAGCACAUCGAUUUCUAGUGUCGAAUGCUUCCGGCGAGCACAUCGCACCACCGGCGCUCUCAUCGACGAACGCCUUGCAACACUUGAUACUUCCGGUGCAGUCCUUGCAGCAUGGGAUGCUUCGGCGAGCAACACCGACGUUCCCAUGGACGAGUGGCCUUGUAGCAUGAGAUGCUUUCGGCAAGCAUCGGCGCUCCAGCUGGCGAGUGACCUUGCAGCACCAGACGCUUCCCACGAGUAGUGUCGCAACAUCGGCUCACAGCACAUAAGCGCGUCGCAACAUCGGCUCGCGGUAGGUCAUCGGUUGUCGCAGCAUCAGCAUGAAGCACGGCGUCGUUGGAGCCAGGGACGAUUCUAGGGGGGGCGAGGGGGGCCAGACCCCUAUCAAAUUGAUUUUUUUCUACUAUGAUAGUAGUUAUUAUGGUAAAAAAAAAUUCACUUCAUAUGAAUUUUGCCCCUUCAUAAAUAAACUUACCGUCCUAUGCUUACAUGCUGGCUCCGUCCCUGGCUGCAGCACUGCCUCGCUGUACGCACUGGUCGUUGUAGCACGGGCGGUGGCGUCGCGGCACCGGCGUUACCGCAUCCGGCUAGCCGCUGACCUCCAGCAGCUCGGCCUCGUAGCACAGCUCCGCGAACAUCUCGUGUGUCUGUGUAACAAGAAAAGAGGAUAUGAAAAUAAGAGGAGCACGGAGGAAAGGGAUAAGAAUGGAGAUAGCAGGAUGUAGGAGAUAAGAGAGAACGG
rnacentral:lncRNA from 1 species